GUGAAAUUGUUGAAAGGGAAACGGUUGAAGUCAGUCAUGCCGGUGGGAAUCAACUUGGGGGAAACUCUGAGUGCAUUUCUUCACUUGGCAGGUUAGCGUCGAUUUUGGAUAUCAUAAAAUGACUGGGGGAAGGUAGCUCCUUCGGGAGUGUUAAGCCCUUGGUAGAUGUGAUGUCCGGGAUCGAGGAUUGCAACGGAUACCUUUUAGGUUAACCGCCUGAUUUCUAAUAUGAAGUUGGAUUAUGGACAGCAUGCUGACCGUGAUCUAAUUUGCGGUUAAAAGGUUAGAGCGAGUGUAAAUUCGUUAAGGACGCUGACGUAAUGGCUUUAAACGAC
rnacentral:rRNA from 1 species